rnacentral:rRNA from 1 species
GACGAACGCUGGCGGCGUGCUUAACACAUGCAAGUCGAACGGAAAGGCCCUGCUUUUGUGGGGUGCUCGAGUGGCGAACGGGUGAGUAACACGUGAGUAACCUGCCCUUGACUUUGGGAUAACUUCAGGAAACUGGGGCUAAUACCAGAUAGGAGCUCCUGCUGCAUGGUGGGGGUUGGAACGUUUCGGCGGUUGGGGAUGGACUCGCGGCUUAUCAGCUUGUUGGUGGGGUAGUGGCUUACCAAGGCUUUGACGGGUAGCCGGCCUGAGAGGGUGACCGGCCACAUGGGGACUGAGAGACGGCGCAGACUCCAACGGGAGGCAGCAGUGGGGAAUAUGGCACAAUGGGCGGAAGCCUGAGGCAGCAACGCCGCGUGCGGGAUGACGGCCUGCGGGUUGUAAACCGCUUUCGCCUGUGACGAAGCGUGAGUGACGGUAAUGGGUAAAGAAGCACCGGCUAACUACGUG